UUUCCCCUUCCCUCCAAUUUUUCUCUUCCCUCCACUUUUUCCCUCCGCUUAUUUAGAAUAUUUGGUGCCUAAACUGCGUCAUUUUUUUUGGGUCCAUUAACACUACAACAUUCCACUUUCCCAUUUCAAUUUCAUUUAGCCCUACUUCAUCCGUCUCCCCUCUCUGCUCUAUCUCGAUCUCUUAGCUGCAAGACUCCCCUCUCUGAAAAAUAUUUUGCCUUUUAAUUUAAGAUAACUCUAUCUCGUUCUUUGCUGCUCGAUCUCCAUUUCUCAGCUGAAGCCCUUGAUUGAUGUUUGCUAACCCGCUCUAUCUCAAUCUCUCACUGCUUUGUCUUGAUCUCUCACUGCUCGAUCUCCAUCUCAGCUGCAAGACCCCUCUACCCUGUCUCGAUCUCUCACUGCUCGAUCUCCAUUUCUCAGCUGAAGCCCUUGAUUGAUGUUUGCUAACCCUUCUCUCUUUCGGCAUUAUCUCAUCUGAGAUUACAAAGUUGAAGCCCUAGGUUUCUCUUCAGGCCGUCUCUCCUCUGUCUCGAUCUCUAACCAGCUACUCGAUCUCCAAGAGUUGUUAAUUUAUGUCAUUUCGAGAUCUUACUCACUAGAUUUUCCUCCUAAAACGUUCUCGCUAAAGCCUCUCUCUGGUACCGCUUUGUUUCAUUUUAAUUUCUUCGUGGUUCGUUGUUUUAUUUCUCACUAAUCAUUCAUUUUACACAAUUUAGUUUCUCUCUGCAAUUUCUGAAGUUUCUUCAGACUUUCAACAAUAUAAUUUUUGUGGAUGUGAAGUGCCAGGGUUGCUUCAACAUUGUGACCACUAUAAUUGAACCUUUGUCCCGGUUUCCUUCGCAUUAGCAAUCAAGAAGGGGAUAACUCGCAUUUGAUUGGCUACUAUUCUUUGAAGGAAGGAUAAAUAAUAAGCUGACAAUGAAACGAACGGUUAGAGAAGUGGAAAAAGUGAGUGAACAAAAUACCGAAGCUUCAACUUCAAAAUCAUCCCAACCACCGCCGAAGAGGAGACGGGGCCCGACACGAUGCAAGAAUAUCGUAAACGCGACAACCUUAUUACCAUUAAGGGUUAAUAAGUAUGGACAACCGAUCGGCCUUGGAAGUGGUACAUAUACUAAUUAUUUGGGAACACUUGCCCGGAAUGGUAAAUUAGCUCCUUUGUGCUACAAAACUUGGUGGGAGAUGCCUAAACGGCUUAAAGAGGAUAUGUGGAACAUUGUAAAGGGAAAGUAUGAUUUGGGAAUCAUGUCAAAACAGUGGACAUUAUCCUCCAUCGAAAAAAAAUGAAGGGGGUACAAGUGUGAAUUAAAAACUGAAUACUACUCGGUUAGGGAUACAGAUGCAGAAAGAUUGGCAAACCCUCCACCUGAUGUUGAAAAGGAGCAUUGGGAAUUUUUGGUUAGGCAUUGGGGUACGCUUAUGGCGAAGGAGGUCAGAAAAAAAAACAAAGAAUGUCGUGGGAAGCAGACAAUGAUGCAUACUACAGGGGCAAAAAGCUUUGCACGUGUUUCUACCGAGAUUGAGGAAAACGAAGGUAUUCAGUUUUCUUGUGCAGAUUAAUUCAUUCGCACACAUAUAAAUAAGGAUGGCAAUGCUACUGAUGCUGCUGCUUCGGAGAUAAUUCUAAGUUUUAUGCUUCCAUUUUGCAAAAAGGGGGUCACGUGCCUUGAAGUGACCAAUUUUUAAACUCUUUGCGGUGUAUUAGGGGGUCACAUGCCUUGAAGUGACCAAUUUUUAAAUCAUCGGCCCGUGUGGAGGCAUUUUAAUUUCAUUGUUUAUCAUCAGCUCGUGUGGAGGCAAUUUACUUUCUUGUAUUUGUUGAAAAGCAUGGGAGUAUGAGAUCAUUGUAUGUGGAGGCUUCUUGUUGAUUGAUUUGUGUUGUGGAGGAGAAGUAUUUGCUAUUUGUUGUUUGUUGUUUAUGUUAAUUUCUUACUCAUACCAGUGUAAAGGCCUUUUGAAUGUAGGCAACUUCAAAUAAUAGAAAUAAGGCUUUGUUGAGUUAAGCUGAAUAAGAGUUUUUGGUUAUGCAACAUAUUCUUAUGUUUUGCACAAAAGAGGUAGUUAUUAUUCACAUCUGGCUUUCUCCACUUCCCAUUCAACUGUUAUGUGUGUCUACAACCCAAUAUAUCACUGCUUUGAAUCAAUCACACUUUGUCUUGGAAUCCAUUCUAGCCCUUGUUAAAGUCAUUGAAUGGUAGAAAUCAAAACUAGUACAAAUAGUUAAAGAAACAAUAAAGUAAGACUAAAACCAAGAUGUACCAUGUGAUAGACCUAUAUUAUUCAUCAGUUUUAACAAAAAUUGGACUCAAUUAUUACGUUCAGCCAUUAGGCACACACACACACACACAUGUAGAUAUAUAGGCAUUGCAUGCUAACACAGUAAUACUUGCUUGCUUAUGUAUGAUAGAUAACAGAAAAUUCAUUAUUUACUAACCUCUUCAUAUUUAAUUACAGGUAGCUAAGAACCAAACUUUGAGUUUGCCUUUUAGUGCGUGAUUUGGAUAUAUGGAAACAAAGAUGAAUAAUUGCUUAUAGUAAACUCUACUUUUAUUUAUAUAACAUGUGAAAUGGUACUUAGAAAAUUUGUGUUGCUAUUAGUUGGGUUUCUAAGGUUCUGUCUAGUGAAUGAAACCUUGCAAUAAAACUUAUAAAAUAUAACUGGGGAUAUGAAAACACCAUAAGUGUCCGUCAAAGGUUUCAACUUGACCAAUUCGUUAUUUGUUAAAAAUGUGAUCAAAUAGUUGCUGGACCAGUUGCUGGUCUUGGGCAUGCUGAUUCUUUCUAAUGUCUAUGAAUGUAUUGUGUCUAAAUCAGUUGGUUUCAUGAGAAGUCAAUUGUUUUCUGAUUUUCUACUUGUAGCAAGCAAUAGCCAUAAUCCCUUACCAAAAAAAAAAAAAAGAAAAAAAGAAAGAAAAAAAGAAAAACAAGCAUUAGCCAUAAUCAAAUACUUUGUAAAACUAAUGUCCUACAGAGCUUGUAACUGUUGUACCUACUUAUGUUUAUGUCAACUUUUGAUACUCGUGGCUGCAACUGUUUUUCGCUUUCCUUUUCUUUUAUGGGGUGUUUAUUGUGCUAAUUAGUAUUUGAGCAUAUUUUCUUUUCUCAUUUAAACUUAGUGUUCAAAUUUAAUUGAGAAUUUGGCUAUGGAAAUUCUCUUUCAUGUCUCAAUUUCAUAAAAAUGAUAGGAACUUGGACUCUUUAUGACAAUUCAUGAUGUUAACGGUUGGACAAGUAGCUAGAUUUAUGUUGCCCAAAUCCUUAGUCUUGUAAAAAUGGAGUAAUUAACUUUGGACUUUAACCUUUUAUAUAGCUGGAAAAUCUCAAUUUCUUGCAUUUGGACUAGAAAUUUAAAAAAUUGAGUCCAUUUUUCACCGUUGCUUUUUCACAUUACUCCAGAAUCUCCCUUCAUUCUAAAAGUUAGAUAUACCGCCACCCAAAUGUUGGACACGAAGCAUUCUAUCUAAUUUAUUUUCUAUACGUUCAUUAUUUAUUUUUAUUUAUUUUAUUUAUUUUUAUUUUUUACAGGAAAGCAUAAAAGAACUUCAAAAAAGUUACCCUGACUCGCCUAUUGGCAAUUCCAAUGAUUUGUUCUCCGUUGUGAGGGGAGAAGAGAGAACUAGUCGUGUGCGGAUGCUUGGCUUGGGGCCUACACCAAGCGAUGUUUGGGGGCCUCUCCUAGUAAAGCUGAACUGAUUAAUAAUGCCAAAAAAUCUGAUGAGGAGGCACGUGCUGCAUGUGUAGAGUUGCAGGAGACCAUUUCAAAAAUGCAAGCCGACUAUGACAAGAAGUUGGAAAAUUUACGAGCCAACUAUGAUGGCAAGUUGGAAAAUUUACAACAACAGGUGGCUAUGCUAAUGCAUAUGCAACAAUAAAAUUGUAGUGGAUAGGUAUAUUUAUUAUUAGUUUUACUCUUUACUAAAUAUAUGUUACUUAUGCCAAGAUUUCAUGUAUUUUGUUUUGUUAUUUUGAAGGGUUCUGAUUCUUUAAAUGCUCCUCCUAGAGUAUCCCCAUCUAGUCAUUAUGCCAAUUCAGUUAAGGGUAAUAUAAAUCAAAUGGGCAAGAAGACUUGUUGAAGUUGAAGCUGAAGAUGGGGUCAUGGUUGUGCUUUCUGAAUUUCCUUUGCCUUGGAUGGGUUCUUUUUGAAAAACUUGUAUUACAUUUGUCAAAAAAAUUUAAUUCUUUUUAUGUGACAUUUAGUAGCUUUAUCUAGACAAUUUGGAUGGUAUUCUCAUAUUGGCAAGUUAACUUGUGGUUGUAUUAGUAUACAUUUUGGCUUUUUGGUUGACAUUUACCAGCUUUAUCUAUUAGUAGCCAAUUUCGAUGGUAUUUUUCAUAUUGGCAGCAGGUUAACUUAUGGUUGUAUAAUGUAAAAACAAUUUGGAUGGUAUUUUUAAAUUGACUUGUGUUAUAUUGGAUGACAUUUAGUAGUUGUAAAGAAAUUUUUUCCCAAAAACAAUAAGAAAAAAUAUAUAUAU